CCACUUCCUCAUUCUCUUCUCUGCAGGAGGCUUCCCAAAUGGUGGAGGAUGUUUUGAUGCUUGGAAGAGGAAAGCAAUACACAGUCUUUCCUCUGGUUACUGCAGCAAGAGAGUUCUCCAGCCUGAUUUGCCUUCUGCUUUCAUAUGGAGACAAAAGGAGGCUCCAUGAGUCAGUGCCCACAGAGUCAAAGAUGAAAACAGGCCAACCCAGAACUGUGACUCAUGCUGUCAGCAGGAGGGAUCGGAAGAGACCUGGGCUUUGCUGUCCUGAUCUAAAAGCCGACCUGGUUCGUGUCUCACCAGCCGUAGGAACUACCUUGUGCCUUGAGCCUGAUCCAGCUGAGCUUCCAGCUGCAAAGCAGAGAGUCACGGAUGCAGGAUGCCUGCUAGGACAGAGUAGGCUCCCAGCAGCUGGGACAUCCCCAGCCCUUCCUAGUCCUGCCACUGGUGGUGUUGGUCAGCAGGUCACGGGACUCAGAAGGGGUGGCUGUCUGGGUGGUGAGGCUGGAGCUCAGGUGAGGUCAGUGGACAGUGGCUGUCCACAGGUCCACAUGACUUAAGUCUGCCACCAUUUCUGUAGCCACUGUUGAGUCACAGGAAGAGCUGAAAUGUCUGGGUACUAUUCUGUUCAGGCCAGGAGCUGAGUCUCCUGGCAGGUCCGCCCUCGCUGUGAGACUAACUCUAACAGGGUUACUGAAGACCAACCAGCCUCCGGCCCUCUCUGAAGAAUGAACUGCCCCCUGACUCUUCCUCCACUGUGGCUAGAGCCUGUUUCCCUCCUGCUAAUGUAUGUUCUAUUGAAUUCAUUCCUCAAAAUCUGAUUGCCUCUAAUGUGCUGCACCCAAUGUCAAGCUGGGGACACGCCUGUCUUCAAGGCCCUUGACCUCCAACAGCAAAGAGACGUGUCAACAAAUAAAUAAGUGCAAACUGUGAAGUGCUCAGUUGGGAGCUGACAGGUACAAAGCUAUUGAGAAGCAAACUCCUGCCAGCGCCUGCCAGAGGACCCACAGGACCAGCUGAGUCCCCAGGCCACCACCCGAGCCGGCAGCUGCAGGAGCCCCAGGAGCCCAUGUCCUUGUCUGUGUAGCCACCCACAGAGGUGGCUGUCCCCAGGCUGCAAGGUCAAGACAUGUGCACAGUGCUCAGAGCAGAUCCCAGAGGAUCCCAUGACCUUCCUUUCUUAGCACUGAAUGGCCAGGUCACACCAGUGAGAGACAGCGAUGACAACUGAGGAAAAAUGACUUAAAGGUGGAAAAAGAGAGAAUAGAAUGAACAAUAUUUUUAACAAGGAAAGGAAAAAUAAAUUGGAACUUACUACGCGCCAGGCAAAGUGGUUAUCACCAUCGUGUUUUCUUUUUUAAGUCAAUUAUUAAAUGGACAUGUCAAAUAUUUGAAAUAUUAAAUACAUUUAUGAAGUAUGAUAUGACAGUUCACACGUGUACACAAUAUGCCAUGACCAAAUCGGGGUAAUUAGCACCUCCACUCUGCAGACCUAUAGCAGUUCUUUAUGCUGAGAAGCUUUGAGCUCUUGACUUCCAGAUUUUUGAAAACAUCCUGUAAAUUGUAUCACGGCUUGUCACGGACCACCACAACCCUGUCAUGCCAUCAAGCUCUGGACUUCUUUAUCCUUCUCACUGUAGUGUGGUGCCCAUGACCCGGCCUCCCUCCAUUGCCCUCCCUUCUACACUCCUGACCUCUAGUGACCACUAUUCUGAGAUCAUUAGCUCCCAUAUAUAAACACCGAGUUUGUGUUUCCUGCUCUAAGUUUGCAACUUAUCCGGAUGAUGUCAUCAACCUCAUUUCACAGAUGAAAAACCUGGGACAUCAAACAACUUUUCCCGAAUCACACAGCUUUUAAACAAAUUCAAACUCAGGACUCUGGUCUCAAAUCCAGUCCUCUUUCUACUCCCAAUCUUCUUUUCUCCCCAACAUCUGGCCAAGUCAAGUUUAAUCAGUGUUUGCUCAGCCCUGGAAUGAAUUUAGAUCACGUUGUGCAUUACAAAUACAGGAGCAGCUAGGCAGCCAAGUCAGCAAAGGAAAUCCUAAAGGGUCUUAGAGAAAGAACCAUGGGGAUGCCAAAUCAAUCGGAGGGAGGGGGCAGAAGAAGAGGAGGGAAGGGAAGACCGGCUGGAGAGACAGAUUUUUUGAGCGUCUUUUCACAAAAUCUAAAAAUUACUAACCUUCUACAUGUCGAAAGAUAAUUUUUGUCAACACAUGCAAAAACGCCCUGCUGAGCAGGAGCCCAAGGGAGCAGAUGGGCGAGCCUCAGACUUGGAGACUGAAGUUGGAGGAGUCCCGCUGACAGUCUCCAAAGGACAGGCCCAGGAAGUCCAGCCACCUCAGCCCCUGCCUGCACUGAGUUGGAGCCCUCCCUGGAUUGCAGCCUCCUGGCCCUCACUGAAGCCUGCUUUUUAGAAAACAGGGCAGACAAAGGUUUUUUUGAUUUUUUUUAUUAUUAUUCUUAUGCUGUUAGCUUUGCCUCUGUAAUCUCUUCCUCUCUCUUCUCUGCUUCCCUAUUUCCCAUCUUAUGUCCUAGCAGCAUCUCACCUGCACCCCUGCAGCACAGGAGGUAAACAGCCCUCUGGGACAGGUAGAACUUAAGGCCGCAGAACAGGAUUUAAACAAGUCAGGAGGACAAAAUUACACCACAAUCCAUGUGUCCUCAGUGAGACACAUCGUAGCAUGUUGCUUCUAAGUUCAUGGAGAAUUUCCUUUCUGUGCUCCAGAAAUGUAUAGCUGAGUGAUGUCACAUGGGAUAAGAAGACCAAAGAAAAUUCUGUUAUGCAAAAGUCGAGAUACAAAUCCCAAUAACCAUUCCUAAUCUGGACUGUAAUUUGGUACUGUGCUUACUGUGGCCAAAGCAGCAAGACAGAAAAGCAGGAAGAAAGAAGGAAGAAAGAGACAGACGGGUUGGUUGGGUCUGGGCUGUGGCCUGGGCAUCAGGAUUUAAAAACCUCCCUGGUGAAUCCACUGUGUAGCCAGGGUUGAGAAGCCCCGGGCUGGAGGAUCAAAAUGAGCCCUUAGCAAGUCGGGUUGUGUCAGUGGCCGCUGUGGGGGUGGCUGCUGUGAGUUCAGGGUCCUCUAGGUGUGGGCUCCUGCUCCACCCGCUACUCCCCAGAUGCUCUGAAAGCUGCAGUGGUGACUGCCCACCACCCAGCCGGAGGGUCCCUGUUCAGCCAGCAGCACAGCACAUGGCCCUCAGGAGGCCUCUCCUGAAGCCUGCACACUGCCUCCUUGAGAAAUGGACACUCUCGGUGAGGCAGCCCCCACCCAGUGCCUCCCCCAGCCAGUGCGCCUCACUUACUCUCCCUACCAGCCUCAGGGCACAGGAAGGCACCGGCCACACUGGAAUUCCACCUGAGAAGGGCUGGCGGCCUGGAGCUUGGGAGACCCCGGGUCCUCUCAGCGGCCUUCAGAGCUCAGUGCAGCCCAGAUGUCACCCAGGCCUGCUUCCUCCAUAACCACGCGUUCCCAGCAUGUCUGUGGGGACCUCACCAGAUCCUGCCAGUUCCUGCAGCCCCUUAGACCUAAGCAGUUCAGGAAAAACCAUCACACACAGGGGUGUGGUGGCCCACACAGGGGAAAUGUGGAAUCCCAAGAACAUCGGUCCUUCAAGAUUCCCAAAUUCUAGUGACAACUCUGGCAUUAAGUGGCCAUAGGACCUUCAAAAGUCACUCCCUCUUAGACCUGAGAGUGCUUGUGAUGGUUAAUUUUCUGUGUCACCCUGGGAGAGACACAGUGCCAGAUGUGUGGUCUAGUGUUGUUCUGGAUAUUUCUCUGAGUGUAUAUUGGAUGAAAUUACAUUUGAAUUAGUAGACUUUGAGCAAAGUGGAUUGUCUUCGUCGUGUGUGUGGGAGAGGUGGGGGGGCACUUCAUCCAAUCAAUUGAAGGUCUGAGUACAAUAAAAGACUGACCGCCUAAGCAAGUGAAAUCCCACAGCAGAAGGCCUCAAACUUCACCUGUAACAUGGCUCUUCCCUAGGACUCCAGCCUGCAGACCCACCUGCUGACUUAGAACUCACCAGCCCCCAUGAUUGCCUAAGCCAAUUAUUUAAAGUAAAUAUUUUUAAACACACACAUACACACACUCCAUUGGUCAGGAGGACAAUCAUUAUAAAAUGUGUGUAUUUAUUAGGAAAUGUUGGCUUAAAUGAGUAUUUCCAAAGUAUGAUUCAUGCAACUAAAACAGGAACAUCUCAAAAGAAAAAAAAAAUCUGCGAUCAUUGAUGGGAGAAAAGAUUAGGUUACCUAAAGUAAACAAGGUUAAAUGAGGGACUUUUCAGUUCCUUCAAUGUAUGACAUGCUCAUGUGCACUGUGUCUCUGGAUCAUAUAUGCAACAUAACCUAAAUUUAUUUGAUUAUAUAUUCUUUUGUUAUAUGAACAGUCAAAGUUCUUAAAAUUUAGGUCCAUAGGCCCCUUUCUCCCAAUGAAUGUGAGCAUAAAAUUUCUGCAGCCUAGACCUUGGGCAGCAGAAAAUGAUUUAUUUUCACUGGCCUCCAAUUCAGGCACCAGUAAACGGCAGCCCAGUGGCCAAAUUCAUCACUGUUGCCUGUUUUUAUAAGAAAAUAGUACCGUAUUAUUGAACCUCAGCCACACUCCUUUGUUUACAUAUUUCCUAUGGCUGUUUCUUGCUAUAAGAGCCAGAAAUCCAGUAGUUGCAACAAAGACUGUAAAUUUAACUCACGUAAAAGGCCAAAAAUAUUUACUGUCUGGCUAUUUACAAUUUGAUGUUGUGAUUUAUAAUAAGAAAUAUAUAGCUUGUUCUUGGUGCCUGGUCCUUGGCCCGUGGCAUAAAAUUUAGCUUUUAAAACCCUGGGAAUGUCAUGACCAAUAGGGUGGCUGGGAACAUCAUUUGUUCUGCUGGGUCUUUGACCAGGUUUGCUGACAUGGCUCCUGGCUCCUUGGAGUUUCCAUGGAGAUGUGAGUGUCUUCUCUUCUAAAGAGGCAACACUUGCUGGGCUCCUGUGUGGUGGCUGGUCACCAGAAAUAAAGCCAUGAUUAGAGCAUGGAAUUUUCAGCCCUGCCCCAUCCCCUGGGAUACUCUGUGAUGAAGCCUCUACAGAGUCCCCCAAACUCCAGGACACACAGAGCUCCUGGGAUGGUGAACAAGAUCAAGCUCUUCCUGGGUUCAUGAGUUGCUACAGAAAGUUAUGGAACUCACAAAGGGGAUCUGGGGGGCCUUGGACUUGUAGCCAAGUUGGACUGAGCUGUGGGUACCCUGGGACCCACUACUUGGGACUGUCAUCUGACAGGCAGCUUGUGGAACUGAGCACUCAGCCUGUGGGAUCUAACACCUGGUUCAGGUAGACAGUGCCAGAACUGAGGAGGCUGUAGGACAGCCAACCACUGUCAGGGAAUGGUCAACAAGGGAAACACCACAUGCCUGUCACAGAAGUGUUGAGUACCCAGAGCUGAGUGGGAGGAAUGAGAGUUUGCUUCUCCCUCCAUAUACGAAAGUGUGUUGCUGGACCCGCUCUAGUUGAACUUCACCAUUCCCUCAACUAUGAAUGUAGGCACAUCACAGUAGUAUUAAUAGCACCUGUGACUUUGUGGAAAUCACAAGGUAGCUCGAAAUAACAUUUACACUCUCCACUACUUUGCAAUUACUGCAGCUAUUAGGUCUGUUGCUGGAUCUUGUUAUCUAAUGUGUUAAUAAAGAUGCCAUUAUCUUA